rnacentral:lncRNA from 1 species
AAAAUAUAUUGCUAUUGUCUCUUAUGAACAACGCCAGAAUUACAAGGAUGACUUCAAUGCUGAGUAUGAUGAAUAUAGAGCUUUGCAUGCCAGGAUGGAGACUGUAGCCAGGAGAUUUAUUAAACUGGAUGCACAACGAAAACGCCUUUCUCCAGGUUCAAAAGAGUAUCAGAAUGUUCAUGAAGAAGUCUUACAAGAAUAUCAGAAGAUCAAGCAGAAAGGAAAUGGCUUUUAUAAAGCAAAGCAGAGUACACAUUCUUCAUGAGAGCAAAGAACCCUAAAUGUUUCAGAGUUCCAUUGACAACAUUAUAAAGAUAAGUUCUAAUAAAAUUUGAUGAUGCUA